rnacentral:pre_miRNA from 1 species
AGUUGGAUAAGGCACUUUAUUUUGUGGAUUCUGUCAAAGUAAGGGCCUUAUCCAUAGAG